rnacentral:lncRNA from 1 species
AUAUGCUCUCUUUGUUUGAUAUUUCANGCUUCUGCCAAUGGAAAGACACUGAAACUUCCGGGUUCAAAAACCCUGGGUGCGGCAGGGGCGGUUCUUGGCCAUUUGCGGGAAGGUUCCAACGGGCAGAAUUCAGAUGCAUGAGGCCAGAUAAAAAUGGCACCACUGGAGAGCAGGUGGGAAUAGUUUUGGGGAGGGGGGGAGGGGGAGAGAGGGGAAACAGGUGCUGGAAGACAACCCUAUAAACGUCCACAAGAACUCGUGAGAGAGGUUAGUCAGGAGAAGGAUCCACAACAUUUGUGAACAUUCCUUGCACAGGGCUUCCUUGCAGGAGUUCGGGGGAGUGCAAACUAUAAUCUUCGAAUUUUUUUUAAAGAACCCUAUAACGACUAAUAAUAGAACAAAAGAAUUUGGGAAAGUCAUCAUUUAUUGUAACUAAUAUGCUCUCUGUGUUUGAUAUUUCAAUGUAUGCUCUAAGAGAUAUGAAUCCCGUGCUUAAAAAAAAGAAAUGGGGCCAUUCGAGGACACUGGGUGAGGCCUUUUCCACAACAAUGGAACUUUAAGUACUUGACAAUUUGUAUGCUGUCGGUAUGUAAGCACUGAGCCUCGCAAACCCCACAGCUGCGUGUUUACAGUUUAGACCAUCUCUGUGAAUUGCAUUCUUAUGUUUUGUAUUUUAAAAGGCCAUUUUCGGCUCCUACUUAGCUGCCACUCAGAAAUACCAAUCAAAUCAGGUCCGCGUGCAUUCGUGUGUUUUUUUCAAUCCACACGUUG